AUUGAACGCUGGCGGCAGGCCUAACACAUGCAGGUCGAACGGUAACAGGCAGAAGCUUUCUUCUUUGCUGACGAGUGGCGGACGGGUGAGACAUGUCUGGGAAACUGCCUGCUGGAGGGGGAUAACUACUGGAAACGGUAGCUAAUACCGCAUAACGUCGCAAGACCAAAGAGGGGGACCUUCGGGCGUCUUGCCGUCGGGUGCGCCCAGGUGGGCUGGGCUGGAAGGUGGGGUAACGGCUCCCCUAGUCGACGAUCCGUAGCUGGUGUGAGAGGGUGACCGGCCACACUGGAACUGAGACACGGUCCAGACUCCUACGGGAGGCAGCAGUGGGGAAUAUUGCACAAUGGGCGCAAGCCUGAUGCAGCCAUGCCGCGUGUAUGAAGACGGCCUUCGGGUUGUGAAGUACUUUCAGCGGGGAGGAAGGGAGUAAAGUUAAUACCUUUGCUCAUUGACGUUACCCGCAGAAGAAGCACCGGCUAACUACGUG
rnacentral:rRNA from 1 species